rnacentral:lncRNA from 1 species
UUACAAGGCAGCAUUUCUGUCGUCCCUGUGUAAAAUAUUUCUUUGUUUCACUAUCAUUUAGUCAAAGCAAUAAUAUUUGACACGUGUUAUGUCAAGUAGAGUUAUAUGUGUAGAUUCCAGCUGAACUGUACCACUGCUAAAUCAGACCAUUGUGUUCUUUUCUCAGUUACCAUUUAAAAGUCCAUUUGGUAAUUCUUCACAACUGUGACCUCUGCUACGUUUAGAUUUGUGCGUAUGUUGAUGAUGCUUUGUGUGUCUCUGGGGUGAGUAGACACUGAAACUUUAGCCUACUUUCUCACAGCUGACAGCAAUAUAAAAGAGUGAUCAACAGAGCAGCUACUGUAUCAUAAUGGCAUUAUCUGUUGCUUUCUGUUAGUGGACACCCAGCCAUUGGAAGCUCAAGUCUCAGGGACCUACAUGUUCAACUAUAGAUGCAUAGAAUAGAACGCUGUCAGCAUCUGUACUCAAAAUACAAAGUUAAUGUGUGCUGCUCUUGGAUAGUUCAUGUUUAAUCCCAGGAAGUGAUGGUUUAAUGUGUGGAACGAUAUAACAGAAUAUAACAUCCAUCCAUCCAUCUUCUAGUAACCCACCCGUCAUGGGGGCCUGGAGCCUAUUCCAGCU